rnacentral:rRNA from 1 species
UACGAGGGGGAGCGAGCGUUGUUCGGAAUUAUUGGGCGUAAAGGGUGCGUAGGCGGUUUGGUAAGUCUGAUGUGAAAUCUAUGGGCUCAACUCAUAGUCUGCAUCGGAAACUGCCGGGCUUGAGUGUGGGAGAGGUGAGUGGAAUUCCUGGUGUAGCGGUGAAAUGCGUAGAUAUCAGGAGGAACACCUGUGGCGAAAGCGGCUCACUGGACCAUAACUGACGCUGAUGCACGAAAGCUAGGGGAGCAAACAGG